UGGGGAAUAUUGCACAAUGGGCGCAAGCCUGAUGCAGCCAUGCCGCGUGUGUGAAGAAGGCCUUCGGGUUGUAAAGCACUUUCAGCGAGGAGGAAGGUGGUGGACUUAAUACGUUCAUCAAUUGACGUUACUCGCAGAAGAAGCACCGGCUAACUCCGUGCCAGCAGCCGCGGUAAUACGGAGGGUGCAAGCGUUAAUCGGAAUUACUGGGCGUAAAGCGCACGCAGGCGGUUUGUUAAGUCAGAUGUGAAAUCCCCGGGCUCAACCUGGGAACUGCAUUUGAAACUGGCAAGCUAGAGUCUCGUAGAGGGGGGUAGAAUUCCAGGUGUAGCGGUGAAAUGCGUAGAGAUCUGGAGGAAUACCGGUGGCGAAGGCGGCCCCCUGGANGAAGACUGACGCUCAGGUGCGAAAGCGUGGGGAGCAAACAGAUUAGNUACCCUGGUAGUCACGCUGUAAAACGAUGUCGAUUUUGGAGGUUGUGCCCCUNAGGCGUGGUUCCGGAGCUAACGNGUUAAAU
rnacentral:rRNA from 1 species